AUGCCAAGGAGUUCUGGGCAAGGCGUCACCGCAACCCUUAUGUGGAAGACCAAGAACCCACUUUGGUCAAUCGUCCGUUCAGGAACCGGUUUCAGUUUGCCAUAUUCUUUGAUGUGCUCAAGGCCAAGAAGAAUCUCUAUGUUUAUGUGCUCCAUCAACACAGACUAUAUGGAGAAGGAUCCUGCAUACUUUGGUGAAGCUCUUCAGGUGUGCACUCAGCUGAACAUUCUCAGAAUCAUGCAAUUCAACAAGGACUAUGAUGCAGAUAUUGUGGCUCAAUUCUAUGCCACUGUCCAUCUAGGGACUGAUGAGGAUAGGACUCUGACUUGGAUGACCAAUCGCAAGUUGCUUUCUGUCAAGUGGAAGGCAUUCAUGGAGUUACUUGGGGUGGAAAAUCAGGGGCUUGCGUCUCCUGUCGGCUUUCGCCCUCACCGCAACACAACCUCCACUCACAAGCAAGAUCUCUGGCCCUACUGCACGCUGAAGAUCAACCCUGAUACUAAGAAGGAAACUUAUGAGCUGCCUGCCUUUCUGGACAUUCUUCACCGUGUCUUCCGUGAGACUCUUUUCCCUCGCAUCGGGAAUCUGGAUAUGGUUCACUCUUAUCUCGUGGACAUGCUUCUCUUCUGCCAGCAUGAGAAGGAAGCAAACACUGGCGAGUCCCUGGACAUUUCUCAUGUUAUGUGGUCUGAGCUCUUAUCUGCUAUCUUUGAGCGCAAGUGCCCGAUUUAUGGUCCGUUCAUCAUGCUGCUUAUUGAGAAGGCCUGGAGUCAGGUCUAUCCCAAGGUUAUGCUAGAGACGGGAGAGUUGGUGUCUCAUGAGAUCAAGCGUCUAAGGAAGAAGGACAACUGGGGCACUCAUGUCCCUAAAUCUAGGGGUACAUCGUCUGCUGCUGCCAUGGAGAUCGAGGAGGAGGCUGAGGCUAAGGAUGAUGAUGACUAUGAGCCUUCUGGGGCAGAGCCCUCUUGGGCAAAGAAGCUCAAGCUCAAGAUGAAGAAGAUGUUCUGCAUGGAGUCUCACAGUCAGUACAUGACUCAUGUGGCUGAGAAGAAGGCCCGGGGAUGUCACAAGGAGCUCAUGCGUCAGUUGGGUGCCACCGUUACCAGUGGAUCUGAGGACCAGCUUACUGAGGAGGAGGAGUGGAUUCAGCAGCACUGCCCGUGGACAGAUUGUGAUGCUGAGCAGUUCCCGACUGACGACGGCGAUGAAGACGAUCCCGCUGGGAUCUGA
rnacentral:rRNA from 1 species